rnacentral:rRNA from 1 species
AGCAGCCGCGGUAAUUCCAGCUCCAAUAGCGUAUAUUAAAGUUGUUGCAGUUAAAAAGCUCGUAGUUGAAUUUCGGGGUUAGUAGAUUGGUCAUGCCUCUGGUAUGCACUGGUCUUACUGAUUCCUCCUUCCUGAUGAACCGUAAUGCCAUUAAUUUGGUGUUGCGGGGAAACUGGACUGUUACUUUGAAAAAAUUAGAGUGUUUAAAGCAGGCUAACGCUUGAAUACAUUAGCAUGGAAUAAUGAAAUAGGACGUUCGAUCUUAUUUUGUUGGUUUCUAGGAUUGACGUAAUGAUUAAUAGGGAUAGUUGGGGGCAUUAGUAUUCAAUUGUCAGAGGUGAAAUUCUUGGAUUUAUUGAAGACUAACUACUGCGAAAGCAUUUGCCAAGGAUGUUUUCAUUAAUCAAGAACGAAAGUUAGGGGAUCGAAGACGAUCAGAUACCGUCGUAGUCUUAACCAUAAACUAUGCCGACUAGGGAUCGGAUGAUGUUAAUUUUUUAAUGACUCAUUCGGCGCCUUACG